rnacentral:rRNA from 1 species
UACGGAGGGGGCUAGCGUUGUUCGGAAUUACUGGGCGUAAAGCGCACGUAGGCGGCUUUGUAAGUUAGGGGUGAAAGCCCAGGGCUUAACCCUGGAAUUGCCUUUAAGACUGCAUCGCUAGAAUCGUGGAGAGGUAAGUGGAAUUCCGAGUGUAGAGGUGAAAUUCGUAGAUAUUGGGAAGAACACCGGUGGCGAAGGCGGCUCACUGGCCCGUAACUGACGCUCAUGCACGACAGCGUGGGGAUCAAACAGG